ACUCUUUUUUUUUUGGAAUAAAAUUGCUUUUUUCAAAAAAUGUAAGUUCUGGGGUACACGUGCAGAACGUGCAGGUUUCUUAACACAGGUAUACACGUGCCAUGGUGGUUUUCUGCACCCAUCAACCCAAUAACUCUUGAUAAUAGGAACUCUAUGGGGUUCCAUGUCAAUUCAGUAGAUGUUAUUUCACUUGUUGGUCGACUCUUUCAUUUAUUCAUGAGUGCCUGAUACAUGCAAUGUACUAUAUUAGGCAUUCAGAAACAAAACUGAAACAGGCAUGGUUUCCACUCUUGAAGAACAUGGAUUUGUAUUUGAGAGAUAGACAUAUAAUAUGAAUAAAAUCAAAUGCGGUGGGAGGUUGCAGAGAAAAUGAGAUCCUCAUAUCCUGCUGGUGGGAAUGGAAAAUGGGGUAGCCCCAUUGGAAAGCAUUUCAGCAGUUCCUCAAAAUGUUGAACAUUAAAUUACCAUGUGACUCAGCAAUCCCACUUUUAAAAGAGAGGGUGAAAUAACACACAACUAGCUUUUAGGAAGAGGAGAAAACCUUAUGGGAGAAAUUAACGCUGUAGCUGGAUCUUAAUGGGUCACUUUUAGAUGUGUAGAUUUUAUUUGGGGAAGGACUGGGAAGAAGGAACUUGGUGAGCAAAGCCACAGAGGUGAGAAUUAACUAAAAAUGUAACGUAUCAGCUGGAAUCCAGGAUACUGGGGAGAAAUAAAACUAGAAAUCCAGUUUGGGGUUUCAAUGUAUUCUGCAACUGGUUGGGAACUUAUUAAGGUUUUUGCAAAAGGCAAUUAAUGAUAAGGUACCAUAGAAAGAUUAACACGGUAUUACAUGUAGGAUGUAUGGGUACAGAGAUGACUGCGAGAGGAAACCCUAAGUAAGAGGCCAUUUCAAUGGUUCAAGUGAGAAAUGGGGAUGACUGAACUCCAUAUUAAGUACUUAGUGAAGCUAGAAAGAACCUCGGGACAAAUUUUAUGUGACUGAUGGGGAUGGGGAAGUACAGCUCUAAGGCACCAGGCCUGGGUGCCAGGCAGGGAUUUAAUGGGUGCUUCCCCUCCAACUGCUGAUUUUAUCCAAAGGCCAUGAUGACUGCCUAAGCCCACUUUAAUCUCUACAUGUAACAUGGGUCACAGUGGAGCCAUGUACACUGGCGCUGAUGAGGAGCUCCUGCCAUCCAAAGCAUGCCAACAUUCAGUCACUUGCCACGGUCAAAGCAUGGGAACAAUCUUUAGAAGACCUGACUUGGAGCUGUGGCUAUCCGAUGAAUUUGACAUAUGACGUUAAGUGAGUGGCUCUCAUCACUGGGCUUUUGAACCCUCAUCAGAAAAAGAAAGACAAAGACCUCUACUUGGGCUUAAUGAUCAUGGAUUUUGUGAGCUCCACAAAGUGCUUUGGAAACUAAAAAGUCUGUACAAAGAGGAAUUACUAAUAUUACAGUCACUGGCCUCAAGCAAUAUCUACCAUUCUCAUCUUCACAUGUAUUCUAGUGUUAGCUACUGACUUGAGGGAUCUAUCUGCAUUCAUUCCUCUGCCCACCCUAAUCAUCUCUUCCAUUUUGUUUCUCUGAUCCUAGAAUUGAGACAUAAUUAACACAGGGAUUACCAUACGGAUAACUCUCUCCAAAUGCCAACAAUUCUUUAGAGUGCAAUCAAUGUAUAUAACUUUCUCUUUUCAAAAAUUAAAACAGGCUGGGCAUGGUGGGAUCACACCUGUAAUCCCAGCACUUUGGGAGGUCGAGAUGGGUAGAUCACGUGAGGUCAGGAGUUUGAGACCAGACUGGCCAACAUGGUGAAACCCUGUCUCUACUAAAAAUAUAAAAAGUUAGCCAGGCGUGGUGGCGGGAGCCUGUAAUCCCAGCUACUUGGUAGGCUGAGGCAGGAGAAUCACUUGAACCCGGGAGGUGGAGGUUGCAGUGAGCCGAGAUCACGUCAUUGCACCCCAGCCUGGGUGACAGAAUGGGACUCCCUCUCAAAAAAUAAAUAAAUAAAUAAAUAAAUAAAAUUAACUUAAAUAUUCUCACACUACUGGAAUGUUCAAAGUGGUAGUGUAUGAACAUUCUCUGUUUCCUUAAUCUUAACAGAAAUUACAGAUCUUAAAGUCCCUUCAACACUGACCACAACAGUUCAUUACCUCUACACUCUUCCCUGACCCAUAAAAUAUGCCCCAAACUCGAAAUCCAAAUGAAAAGCAACAAUCUGUUCUAACUCUGGAAAAGAAAAACUUUUAGAUUUACUGAAAGAUGGUUAGCUGACCUCCAAGGUCUCAUCUUCCUGAAAUAUUUUCCAAGGAAAUUUUAAUAGUAGAUGGUUUCAGAAUUUAACAUAACUUCUACACUAAUUGGGACAAGAUUCUCCAACUUCCCUGGAAUGCACAGCUCCAGCACUUCUACACAUUAUGUAGCAAAUACCUGUCCCUUCAAUAGCUGAGGCUGACGGAGAUGAGUUUUUAUGAUAAUUGGAGGCUAAAGUUGCCUGGUCACUUUAGACUUGAGAGUUGUGACUAGCUUCCAGGUCCUAGAACUGGAACUUUCAAGCUGAGCCACCUUAUCUAAAUACUGGAGAAAACGUGGCUCCCAACUCACAGCGAUAUAUAUAGAUUAGAUAUAGAUAUAGAUAUAGAUAUAGAUAUAUAAAAUGCACAGGACAUGAGUUCUGUGAACUACAUGGCAAGAUGUAGCUGACAUUAGCUUUUAUAAAUCAGCAAAGAGAAGAGAUUCCACUGCAUCUUUAAGAGGAUUUCCAGUGAGAAGAGAACAUUUCUACCUUAUAAAGACUUAUUUAUAAUACUAUUUUUCAAGGAACUCUGCUCAGAUGGUAUAGGAAAUACAGUAUGGCCCACUGUAGCAUGCAAAUUCACUGCUUAGCACAUUAUGGGAACAUAAAUAUAAUCAUGAUCCCCUAAGCCUUGCAGGUUCUCAUUCUGCCUCUUUCCUUUCUUCAUUUUUUCCUUUUCAUUUUUUCUUUCCUUUCUCCUUUUCCCCAUCCUGUCUCUCCUCUUUUUUACUAUAUCAUAUUCCUCUUUUUAUACUAUCCUGAUAUAGGAAAACUAAAGCAGCUCAUCUCAAAUAUAAGGGAGAUUUAUUUAUUUCAUCUUUUAAACUUUUUCCUUAAUGGGUUAAAUGCCAAACUCCCCAGAAGCACUCAAUGUAAUAAAGUAUAAUUGUUUUCAGACAUGAGGGUAAGUUUUCCAUCAGUGACUAAAAAAAAGUAAAAAUAAAUGAAAGCCAGUGGAAAGCUGAAUAGUCUUCACUUGGCAAUUAUUCAGCCUUUGGAAAUUUCCAAGCCUUUCGCAAUCAUUAAUUAAUUAGUAAAGAUGAUGUUCUACUUUACUGAGGUUUGAAGCAUGACAUAAAGAGGUCUAGAGGUUUUCCUCAAACUGGAAGAGGAAUGUCAAGGAAAGAACUGGGAUAAGAAUUCGGAGCUCAUUUCUCAUGCCCGUAGUCACAUAAUUAAGCCAAACAGUCAAUAUAAGGACAAUAAGGUCCUCUGUGCACAGGUGCAGUAGAAUACAGUAGUGUUUUGCUCAACGGCCAACUGUGAAGGAACCCACCCUUUCAUCAGCCAAUGCCCUCACAACGCGCCCAGAAUUUAUCCAUAACUUCAUCAGCCUCUUCCCCCUUUCCCAAAGCACAGACAGGACAGAUGGCUAAAUAUCAACCUCUAACCACUCUUAAUAAUCAGAGUGAAAAGUACAUGGUUUGAUUUUCAUUUUUUCAAUGCACAGCCGAAUAUGAUGUGAAAACACAUGAAACUGUUGAAAAACAAAUAUAUCAAAAAUUUUAAAAAUAACAUGAAAUCUACUGAUAUCCAAAAUCUGUAAUCAUCUAAUAGAUCAUCUUGAAUAACCACCUUGCUCAAAUAAGAAGUAAAAUAAAGUUCCAUGUUUUCUGAUGAGUAGUUUAUAAAAAUUCAUUCCAUCUCCCUGUGUCGGUUGGUGAGGACAGGCCAAAUGUUAGGGAUGUGGCUGGACCCAGCACUUUAGAUCCAGUUCUAGCAGUGGGGGCUGAUUCUUUUUCCUACACCAAUGGAUGGGUUCCAAAUGCUGAAGAGAGGCUGGCCAGAGUGCCCAGUGACUUAGUGAGAAAACAACACCUGAAGACUAGCUCAGUACCUCUCACCAGGUGAGUCUCAUCAAGACACAUAGUUUUGCUUUCUCUCAUGUCUGGUUCCUAUGUGGGAUAACACAAUCCUCCAACAAGGCAGACACCAUGUCAUUCCUUCAGGAACAUCACUCAGCCAUCCUUUCAGUCACCCUGUUUUGGGCAGGGCUAAAUUGCCUGUCUAGUUGAACUUAAACCUUGACAGCAGUUGUUCUGACCUAAAAUUUUAUUUUAAUGUAAUCUUCCCUGGGUAAAUCUGUUGCAAUUAUUGAAAACAAAAACUGUGGUUAAGUUGAAUAAUCUGUUUCUCUGAACUGGUUGUUUUGAAAAUAGACUCCCCUUGACUGGGCCAGGAGGAACUGGUGCAAAUAUACUGCGACAUUAACAAAGAGCAAGGCUGUCCAGAUUGGCUAUUAUGGACAAAUUCAUUUUAAAAAGAAAUAAAAAACUGUAAUAACAUUUCUUUUCAUAGAGAGACUUAAGAAACUGAGUAAUGUUUAAAAUCAUUUAAAAUUCUAAUUUGGAAUCUAUCUAUCGGAAAGGGAUCAUGGCUGGCCAAUUUCAUAUAGUGGUCACACAUAACGCUAUAGGAUUUCUCCAGCUCUUCACGGUCCCCACGGUCAGGAGGAGCUCUAUUCCCCUAUAGAACGUGAAAUUCACAUAGGACACCAUUAAUAUGGCAGACGCUUUCAUAUAAGAAAAACAGUUUAGUAAAUACCUUAUAAGGAAAUUUUUGAUACAAUGUUGAAUACGUGAAUAGAUCUGUCUUGAAAUGGACAAUCUUGUUAAAAAUGUGGAAAGAAUUUUUAAAAAUACAGUCCAAACUUCUACCCAAUCCAUCCCCCAAAACUACCAUUGAUCUUCUAGCUAACUGAGGGCUCUCAAAUUUCUGAUUUCUCACAGUUCUAACUGAAAAGAAGCAAGGGCACUCUUCCAACCCAAAUGGCUGGAAACUGGCUCAGUUCCUCUAUUUUCACCCAUUCCAAGUUAUUCUUAUUGGUUCCUCUAGUCAUAAUGGGAGGAAUCAACAUCGUGUUGGUUCCAGUAUUAAUGAAAAAUCCAAGUUGUGGUGAGUGGGCAUGUGUAGUAUUACACCUUACCUAUUCAGACGAAGUAACAGAGAGUGUUAACUUAAAAGGUCCACAUAUGGACAAUUAAAUCAAAUAAGAAGUAACUGUCACUCAUAAGGAGUUUUUAAACAUUGCUUAAUAGUGCUAAAGGCUGAAGAAUAAGAUUCUUUCUGGAGGAUUAGUAAAAUGAAUAAACAAGGGGUCACAAACAAGCUGCAUUAUACUGCAGCCCCUUCUCAAAGGAGAAACUGUCCAAGGUAUUUGCAUUAUCUUAGACCUGCUUGGCCUCACCCAUCUCCUGGGUCCUUGGCCACUUGUUCUGCCCCAGCAACUGCUGUGGUACCAACAUUGCGGGAGUUAUAAUCGCCUUCACAGGGCCACAGCCUGACAAGAGUUCACUCAGUUUUGCCCUCCACAUGUCUCACCCAUAGAUCGCUAACCUUGCUGAGGCUUGAGAUACUACAGACCUGUUUAAUGUCCAAGCAAAUGCAAGGUGUAGAGGAAGUUUCUGCACAACAGAGGGAAGCUUUAACCAAUAUAGGGAAGGAUGUGAAAAAUAAAUUAUUUUCUCUUUCUCCAUCAGAACACUUUGUCCUCAGAUGCUAUGGUUUCUGUGGGCUUUGGAAGAUGAUUCUCCGAGAUUGAGCAAGCAAUUCCAUUUGAUACUAAACAGUGGCCAUAUUAGUAACAUACCAAGUAGUCUCUCUCUCCUCUCUGGCUUCAUUCAUCCUUCCCUGGGAUUGUAUUUGUCAGUGAAAUAAAAGUAACACACACACUUUUGCCUUAGGCUUUGCUUCCUGGGGAAGGCAGACUAAGAUAGGUGCCCCUGUAUUCUCCUCCUUAUGUUACCGAGUUUCUUACCUUUGGCUGCAAUGGUGGUGCACAGGGGGCUGAAACAGGAUCUGUGAUAUAGGUCUUCUUGGGACCAGUGACUGGAUACAUCCCAGGAGGGUUCUGGUUCCCUGCUCCAGGAGGAGUGUACCCUGGUUCCCGUUUCCAGGUAUUUGGGU
rnacentral:lncRNA from 1 species